AUCUCCCAAGCAUCUCACCUCUCCUCUCCACCAUCUGCUUGCCGCCUGCUCAACCUUACAUGGUUCCAGCCCUAAUCGACGAACCCUAAACCCUAAUCAAACAUCAUGGUCCCUAAACACAUUUGAAGAGAGACCCUGUAGAAGGUGCGAGGACAGCCAUGGGUGUCAUCGUUCUCGAUCUUUAUCGCGGCUUCAGAAUCAGCCCCUUUUAUCUCGGACGCUUUGUGCUCAAGGUGCGCUUGACCCGAAGAAGGUUGAAGGGAAGAUUUUGUUGUGCUUAAGGUGAGGCAAUAUGGGUCGGCUUGACAAGGGCAUAGUGGCUGCACGUGCUGGUGCUUCUAACAUGAUUCUUUGUAACGCUGACGCCAAUAAAGAUGAAAUAAUAGCUGAUCUUCAUGUGCUACCAGCGACACACAUCACUAUGCUGACGGGCUUUGUCUUUACGCCUAC
rnacentral:lncRNA from 1 species